UACGUAGGGUGCGAGCGUUGUCCGGAAUUAUUGGGCGUAAAGAGCUUGUAGGCGGUUUGUCGCGUCUGCUGUGAAAAUCCGGGGCUCAACCCCGGACUUGCAGUGGGUACGGGCAGACUAGAGUGUGGUAGGGGAGACCGGAAUUCCUGGUGUAGCGGUGAAAUGCGCAGAUAUCAGGAGGAACACCGGUGGCGAAGGCGGAUCUCUGGGCCGAUACUGACGCUGAGGAGCGAAAGCGUGGGGAGCGAACAGG
rnacentral:rRNA from 1 species